UUCUCAACACUUGACAUGUGUCCAUAUGCAUAACCAUAGUUAACUUCUACUUUGUAUUUAUGGAACCAUGGUUAUGCCUAUGGACACGUGUCAAGUGUUGAUAA
rnacentral:pre_miRNA from 1 species